AGGGAAGUCGGCAAAUUGGAUCCGUAACUUCGGGAAAAGGAUUGGCUCUGAGGGCCGAGUCAAACGGGCUGGAGUCAGAUACGUGUCGGUCCAGUUGGAGGCUGGUUUCUCUGUUUCCUUGUCUGCCUCUGGUGGGUGAGGUUUGCGGAGUUACUGGACUCUGACCGGGUCGGUCGUGGGCGACUUCAGCUAACAGUGUUGCUUGGCAGGCGGCGUGCACGGGCAACUGUGUGCGCAAUGCGGUCUCGCUUCCUUCGUUUGGCGUUCAACGGCUAACUCAGAACUGGCACGGACCAGAGGAAUCCGAAAAAAAAAUCAUUAAGUCGGCAAGGGAUAAGAUUCAGUGUCUC
rnacentral:ncRNA from 1 species